GUAUGAAGGAAAAAGAAAAAAAAAAAAAGAACUACAACUAAAUUUUGGAAUGCAAUAUUAACAGUUUUAAAAUACACUGUGUAUUUUUGCACAAGCAAAUGGAAAGAAAGCAUCUGGGAAUCCGACCUGUGUCUAAGUGCUGCCAUACUGGCCUGACCCUUCACUACUGAGCUCCUUUGAACAAGUUAUUUAAUCUUUCUGAACAUCAAAGGUGUCGCUGAGAGUCUCAAUCAGACUGAAAGGCCCUGCCCUGCCGUGGAAGCUACUCCGAACUCAACAGAAACAUGAACUACACUUGUCAUUACAGCAAGUGAUUUGUUCAGCUGCUUGGCUCCAAUCUUGGCCUCACACGCUUCCUCUGGGAUGAAAAAAGUCAGUGAAGGAUUAUGUUCUACAUUCUUGCACCAUAUCUUGCUUUUGUCAAUCAUCAACACUUUAUGGAGAGCUCUUCAUGUGAUCAGAAUGGACCAGGAUCUCUCUGUGCUAGACCCUGUUCAUACGCCUCCCCAGGGAUGCUCAGCCAGGUGUAUCUGCUUGCGUUAGAAAUGCUCCUACAGGAAGGUCUCCUGGCACCAGGCACAUUCUUAAGGCCACAAAGGGAGGGUUUCCACCUUUACAAGGAGGAGUCAUGUUUGGUGGUCUGCUGUUUGCCUGCUACCUGAGCCUUGCCAGACCUGCUCCUGUUCCUUCAGAGCUCACAGGCUCCAGGAGAUCUUCGUUGUGCUGCACUGUGAUUCUGCUCCCCAGCUAAUAGCUCAGCUCAUGGGAAUGAUGACGCUAGCUCUCUCUGUUGGGACUGCAAAAUAGCCCAAGGUGGAGUCACUACAUAGGGGGGAUUAAACACCAGAAGAUCAACUUUUUCCUUCAAUCUUGGUAGCAAGCCUUUGACCUAAA